AUCAAUAAGCGGAGGAAAAGAAACAACAGGGAUUGCCCUAGUAACGGCGAGUGAAGCGGCAACAGCUCAAAUUUGAAAUCUGGCCCUUGGGUCCGAAUUGUAAUUUGUAGAGGAUGUUUCUGGCGACGUGUCUUCCGAGUUCCCUGGAACGGGACGCCAUAGAGGGUGAGAGCCCCGUCCGGUCGUACGCCUAGCCUCUGUGAAACUCCUUCGACGAGUCGAGUAGUUUGGGAAUGCUGCUCAAAAUGGGAGGUAUACGUCUUCUAAAGCUAAAUACCGGCCAGAGACCGAUAGCGCACAAGUAGAGUGAUCGAAAGAUGAAAAGCACUUUGAAAAGAGGGUUAAAUAGUACGUGAAAUUGCUGAAAGGGAAGCGCUCAUGACCAGACUUGGGCUCGGUGAAUCAUCCGGCGUUCUCGCCGGUGCACUUUGCCGGUCCAGGCCAGCAUCAGCUUGCCUCGGGGGAUAAAGGCUUCGGGAAUGUAGCUUCUUCGGAAGUGUUAUAGACCGUUGUGUAAUACCUGGGGCAGGCUGAGGUACGCGUUCUGCAAGGAUGCUGGCGUAAUGGUCAUCAGUGACCCGUCUUGAAACACGGACCAAGGAGUCGUCUUCGUAUGCGAGUGUUCGGGUGUCAAACCCCUACGCGUAAUGAAAGUGAACGUAGGAGAGAGCUUCGGCGCAUCUCCGACCGAUCCUGAUGUUCUCGGAUGGAUUUGAGUAAGAGCAUACGGGGCCGGACCCGAAAGAAGGUGAACUAUGCCUGUAUAGGGUGAAGCCAGAGGAAACUCUGGUGGAGGCUCGCAGCGGUUCUGACGUGCAAAUCGAUCGUCAAAUAUGGGCAUG
rnacentral:rRNA from 1 species